UACAGAGGUCUCAAGCGUUGUUCGGAUUCAUUGGGCGUAAAGAGCUCGUAGGCGGUUCAGCAAGUCGGGUGUGAAACCUCCAGGCUCCAACCUGGAGACGCCACCCGAUACUGCUGUGACUUGAGUCCGGGUAGGGGACCACGGAAUUCCUGGUGUAGCGGUGAAAUGCGCAGAUAUCAAGGAGGAACACCGGUGGCGAAGGCGGGGAUCUCUGGGCCGAUACUGACGCUGAGGAGCGAAAGCGUGGGGAGCGAACAGGA
rnacentral:rRNA from 1 species